rnacentral:rRNA from 1 species
UGGCGGACGGGUGAGUAAAACGUUGAUGACCUGCCCUAAGGAGGGGGACAACCGUGGGAAACUACGGCUAAUACCCCAGAUGUUUAAGUUGCUAGAGGGCUUAAACUAAAGCUUCGGUGCCAUAGGAGGGGUCAGCGGGCUAUCAGCUAGUUGGUGGGGUAAAGGCCUACCAAGGCUAAGACGGCUAGGGGGCGUGAGAGCGCGAUCCCCCACAAUGGGACUGAGACACGGCCCAUACUCCUACGGGAGGCAGCAGUGAGGAAUAUUGCACAAUGGGGGCAACCCUGAUGCGGCAACGCCGCGUGAACGAAGAAGGCCUUCGGGUCGUAAAGUUCUUUUCUGAGGGAAGAUAAUGACGGUACCUCAGGAAUAAGUCCCGGCUAACUACGUGCCAGCAGCCGCGGUAAAACGUAGGGGGCGAGCGUUAUCCGGAUUUAUUGGGCGUAAAGCGCGCGUAGGCGGUUUGGCAAGUUGGAUGUGAAAGCUCCCGGCUCAACUGGGAGAGUGCAUACAAAACUGCCAGACUAGAGGGUAGGAGAGGAGAGCGGAAUUCCCGGUGUAGUGGUGGAAUGCGUAGAUAUCGGGAGGAACACCAGUGGCGAAGGCGGCUCUCUGGACUAACCCUGACGCUGAGGUGCGAAAGCGUGGGUAGCGAACGGGAUUAGAUACCCCGGUAGUCCACGCUGUAAACGAUGGAUACUAGGUGUAGG